rnacentral:rRNA from 1 species
GCGGACGGGUGAGUAAUGCUUAGGAAUCUGCCUAUUAGUGGGGGACAACAUCUCGAAAGGGAUGCUAAUACCGCAUACGUCCUACGGGAGAAAGCAGGGGAUCUUCGGACCUUGCGCUAAUAGAUGAGCCUAAGUCGGAUUAGCUAGUUGGUGGGGUAAAGGCCUACCAAGGCGACGAUCUGUAGCGGGUCUGAGAGGAUGAUCCGCCACACUGGGACUGAGACACGGCCCAGACUCCUACGGGAGGCAGCAGUGGGGAAUAUUGGACAAUGGGGGGAACCCUGAUCCAGCCAUGCCGCGUGUGUGAAGAAGGCCUUAUGGUUGUAAAGCACUUUAAGCGAGGAGGAGGCUACUUUAGUUAAUACCUAGGGAUAGUGGACGUUACUCGCAGAAUAAGCACCGGCUAACUCUGUGCCAGCAGCCGCGGUAAUACAGAGGGUGCGAGCGUUAAUCGGAUUUACUGGGCGUAAAGCGUGCGUAGGCGGCUUAUUAAGUCGGAUGUGAAAUCCCCGAGCUUAACUUGGGAAUUGCAUUCGAUACUGGUGAGCUAGAGUAUGGGAGAGGAUGGUAGAAUUCCAGGUGUAGCGGUGAAAUG